rnacentral:rRNA from 1 species
AUGGCGAGCUCGGCGCUGAGACGAUCUCUUCCACGACGCCUGCUAACUUCCGACCCAUCAUCCGCCGCAGCCUCCUUGUUCCGCCGCUCCUUCCUGUCCGGAGAGGGCGCGGGCGAGAGUGCGGACGACUUUGAGAAACGUCUGUUUGAGUCAGAUGACAAGUCAUUCUUCGGGAAGCUCGAUGGGAUUGGGAGCUCCUUUGGUAGACACGGCACGGGCUCUGGAAUGGGUGCUUUUGGUCGGCCCGAGUUUGGUCAGGGGAGUAGCAAUGGUGGGUUCAUGGACGGUUUCGAUUCCUUAAACGAUGGCAUGAACGAGAAGUUGGACGAUGCGGCCCGCACCUUUCAUAUGACGGAGGAGGUUGAUGAUGAUGACUACGAUUUCAGGCCGGAUGUGAAUUACAGGCGUGGCUCGACUUACAAUGUCCGGGAUCUUGACCUUACAAGACCUGCAGCCCCAAGGAAUCCUCCAAGACCUCAGUUUGAAACAUCUACAAAGGAAGUUUUAAGGAAAGCUGAUUUUAGGAAUGUUAGAUUCCUCUCCAACUUUCUUACAGAAGCUGGCAUUAUCAUCAAGAGGAGUCAGACCAAGAUAAGCGCGAAAGCUCAGCGCAAGGUUGCGAGGGAGAUUAAGACAGCGCGUGCACUGGGACUGAUGCCUUUCACGACGAUGGGCAAGAGGCCUUUCAUGUUUGGCAGAAGCGCGGAGGAGGAUGCUUCAGAGGAGGAGUAUGGGUACGACUUCGUCGAGAAGGAUGCUGGGCCUGAAGAUGCCGUUGCCGAUGCCGUACCCGAUGUGGAGACUGUGUAA